UACAGAGGUCUCGAGCGUUAGGCGGAAUCACUGGGCUUAAAGCGUGUGUAGGCGGAUUGCUAAGUACCUUGUGAAAUCCCACGGCUUAACCGUGGAACUGCUUGGUAUACUGGCUGUCUUGAGCCACUUAGGGGCAACCGGAACAAACGGUGGAGCGGUGAAAUGCGUAGAUAUCGUUUGGAACGCCAAUGGUGAAAACAGCUAGCUGGGAGUGUGCCGACGCUGAGACACGAAAGCCAGGGGAGCGAACGGG
rnacentral:rRNA from 1 species